UAGCUCAGUUGGUAGAGCGCUCCACUGGAAAGGGAGAGGUCUUGGGUUCGAUACCCGG
rnacentral:tRNA from 1 species